rnacentral:rRNA from 1 species
GCAAGAAGGGGUGGUGGAGGGGGCGACGUGNUCUUAUGCCGCCCGACGCUUAUAGUGUGCGCGCUGGCUCGCUUUUCUCCCCCUUUUUCUCCUCCUCGUCCUCAUCUUUUCCCUGGCUUCCCACAUCUGUUGGGAGAGUGGAGGAAGAAGUGUGUGUGUAUAUAGGUAGUAUCAGCAGAAGGGGAAACAUCGUCAGGCCACCUACGUACGCAGUNGUACUGGUCACGGCUCUCACAUGAAGC